GAUAGAGAGAGCAGCUUAUUCUGUAUGCUUGAAUAUAUGGUUAUAUGCAUGCAAGCAAGUAUGCUACAUAGGAAUUAGGAUUAAAGCCAAAUGGAUGAAAUGGAUAAGCGUGAAAGUAAUCCUAUAUGACCACAAAAUUAUCAGCUAAGUUGACGGGGAAGUUUUAGGAAUUAUAAUAUAUGGUUGCUGUUAGGCUGGGAAAAAAC
rnacentral:misc_RNA from 1 species